rnacentral:rRNA from 1 species
GAUGAACGCUAGCUACAGGCUUAACACAUGCAAGUCGAGGGGCAGCACAGUGUAGCAAUACACGGGUGGCGACCGGCGCACGGGUGCGUAACGCGUAUCCAACCUUCCCGUUACUCUUGGAUAGCCUUCCGAAAGGGAGAUUAAUACAAGAUGGUAUUCAAAUUCCGCAUGUUAUUUGAAUUAAAGAUUUAUCGGUAACGGAUGGGGAUGCGUGACAUUAGAUAGUAGGCGGGGUAACGGCCCACCUAGUCUACGAUGUCUAGGGGUUCUGAGAGGAAGGUCCCCCACACUGGAACUGAGACACGGUCCAGACUCCUACGGGAGCAGCAGUGAGGAAUAUUGGUCAAUGGUCGGAAGACUGAACCAGCCAAGUAGCGUGAAGGAUGAAGGUUCUAUGGAUUGUAAACUUCUUUAUACGGGAAUAAAACACCUUACGUGUAGGGUCUUGUAUGUACCGUAUGAAUAAGCAUCGGCUAACUCCGUGCCAGCAGCCGCGGUAAAAGU